UAGGAAUUUGGCAAGACUCCUAAUUUGUUGUUUUAUGGUGUUUAGCACAUAUAUUUAAGUGGGAGAAUUGUUGGAAUAUGUAAAGCCAUGUUUCAAGUCGAUAUCACGGUGAGAACGUCAAAAAUUUGAAGUUUCUGGACAUUGGGUAUCAGAACUUGAAGUUUGAUUACCGGUACUGUAAGGUACUGGACUUCUAAAAUUAUGAAGUUACGGUGUACGUUUGGUUGGAAAGCCAUUUGAAUGGUUCCGGUGAAGUUCGGUGAAGUCCAGAAGCAUUCGGGCGUUUCGGUGCGCGUAGGCGCAAAGAAGGACCCGAAAGGCUAUGUUGGACCGAGAACUAAAUCCGGCAUUAGCGUGGAUGAAAAGAUGAUAAAAA
rnacentral:lncRNA from 1 species